CGGGUUGUUAAAGCACUUUCAGUCGUGAGGAAGGUAGUGUAGUUAAUAGCUGCAUUAUUUGACGUUAGCGACAGAAGAAGCACCGGCUAACUCCGUGCCAGCAGCCGCGGUAAUACGGAGGGUGCGAGCGUUAAUCGGAAUUACUGGGCGUAAAGCGCAUGCAGGUGGUUUGUUUAAGUCAGAUGUGAAAGCCCGGGGCUCAACCUCGGAAUAGCAUUUGAAACUGGCAGACUAGAGUACUGUAGAGGGGGGUAGGAAUUUCAGGUGUAGCGGUGAAAUGCGUAGAGAUCUGAAGGAAUACCGGUGGCGAAGGCGGCCCCCUGGACAGAUACUGACACUCAGGUACUGCGAAAGCGUGGGGAGCCAAACAGGAUUAGACUACCCUGGUAG
rnacentral:rRNA from 1 species